GGGGGCAACUCCUCCAGUCGAGCGGCGGACGGGUGAGUAACACGUGGGCAAUCUGCCCGAAAGUGGGGAAUACCCCAGGGAAACUUGGGCUAAUACCGCAUGUGAUCGCGACCUCGAAGGGGGAUGCGAUCAAAGGGGGGUCGCAAGACCUCCCGCUUUCGGAGGAGCCCGCGCCCGAUUAGCUAGUUGGUGAGGUAACGGCUCACCAAGGCUUCGAUCGGUAGCCGGCCUGAGAGGGUGAUCGGCCACACCGGAACUGAGACACGGUCCGGACUCCUACGGGAGGCAGCAGUGGGGAAUCUUGCGCAAUGGGCGAAAGCCUGACGCAGCAACGCCGCGUGAAGGAUGAAGGUCCUUGGAUUGUAAACUUCUGUCGGCCGGGAAGAAAUUCAUCGGGGUUAAUACCCCCGGUGAUUGACUGUACCGGCAAAGGAAGCCCCGGCUAACUCUGUGCCAGCAGCCGCGGUAAUACAGAGGGGGCAAGCGUUAUUCGGAAUUAUUGGGCGUAAAGGGCGCGUAGGCGGUUCUUCAAGUCUCUCGUGAAAUCCCUCGGCUUAACUGAGGACGUGCGGGAGAUACUGAAGGGCUUGAGUCCGGAAGAGGGUGGUGGAAUUCCCAGUGUAGGGGUGAAAUGCGUAGAUAUUGGGAGGAACACCGGUGGCGAAGGCGGCCACCUGGGCCGGAACUGACGCUGAGGCGCGAAAGCGUGGGGAGCAAACGGGAUUAGAUACCCCGGUAGUCCACGCCGUAAACGAUGGGCACUUGGUGUCGCGGGUAUCGACCCCUGCGGUGCCGAAGCUAACGCAUUAAGUG
rnacentral:rRNA from 1 species